rnacentral:lncRNA from 1 species
AAACACAAAGGGUUCCGAUAAAAUUCAUCUGGCUAUACGGUGAAAAUCCAAAGAUAACUCGUGGCCUAUUUAUAAACCAUGUUAGGCCUUUUUUCUUUUGGGCCAUCUAUUCUAUUAUAUAAAAAUCGGAUGUCUGCACUUAAUGAUGAAGCUGACGUGGCAUGCUUCUGAGAGUGUUUCCCGAUUUAAUUUAUUUGAUUUGAUUUGAUUUAAUUAUAUAUUUAAAUAUUAUAAUUAAUAUAAUUUAGAUAAUUUAUUAUCAUUUAUAUUAUUUAAUUAAUUAUACUACAUUAAUUAUAAUUCAUUAUAUUAAUUAAUUUGAAGGAUUAUUAACAUUAAUUUAUAAUACAUUAAUUUAUAAUCCUCUGACUUAAAUACAUUAAUUGGACCGGACCGGUAUACAUUCGGUUUGCCUAAUGCGAUGUCGUUUUGUGGGGGGGAGGAAUAACGCGUUAGUGCGUUACUGAUUGCUGGUCUUCCUCUUCUCUUUUCUUACUUUCAGUCAUUUCUUCAUUCAAAGAAAACAAAAAGGAAAAACCCUAGCUAGCCUCCACCGCCGCCGAACGGAGUGACUGGUUGCCGCCGUCCGUGGCUGUCCGAGGAGUCUUUCUUAUGUACUGUCGGUGUUUUCCAAGUCAGAUCCCCUAUUUGAUGUCUUCUUCAUCACUCGGCGCCCAUACUGGGUCUGAUUCUUCCUGUUGCUCGUGGUCGCUUUGUCGCCGUCGUCUCGGCGUCAUUAUCUCGAAG